UGAACGCUAGCGGCAGGCUUAACACAUGCAGGCGAGGGGCAGCGUGGAGUAGCAAUACUCUGACGGCGACCGGCGAAAGGGUGAGUAACGCGUGAGCAACAUGCCCGGUAGUGGAGAAUAGUCGAUGGAAACGUCGCGUAAUACUCCGUAACAUAGAGAACCGCAUGAUUUUUCUAUUAAUAGAUUUAUCGCUACCGGAUUGGCUCGCGUACCAUUAGCUAGUUGGCGGGGUAACGGCCCACCAAGGCGACGAUGGUUAGGGGUUCUGAGAGGAAGGUCCCCCACAUUGGAACUGAGACACGGUCCAGACUCCUACGGGAGGCAGCAGUGAGGAAUAUUGGACAAUGGCCGAGAGGCUGAUCCAGCCAUGCCGCGUGCCGGGAAGACGGCCCUAUGGGUUGUAAACCGCUUUUGUUGGGGAGCAAUAAGGUCCACGUGUGGAUCGAUGAGAGUACCCAGCGAAUAAGCAUCGGCUAACUCCGUGCCAGCCGCCGC
rnacentral:rRNA from 1 species